CCUACGGGUGGCAGCAGUGGGGAAUAUUGCACAAUGGGGGAAACCCUGAUGCAGCGACGCCGCGUGAGUGAAGAAGUAUUUCGGUACGUAAAGCCCUAUCAGCAGGGAAGAAAAAGACGGUACCUGUCUAAGAAGCCCCGGCUAACUACGUGCCAGCAGGCGCGGUAAUACGCAGGGGGCAAGCGUUAUCCGGAUUUACUGGGUGUAAAGGGAGCGUAGGCGGCAGCGCAAGUCUGGAGUGAAAUCCCAUGGGUUAACCAUGGAACUGCUUUGGAAACUGUGCAGCUAGAGUGCAGGAGAGGUAGGCGGAAUUCCUAGUGUAGCGGUGAAAUGCGUAGAUAUUAGGAGGAACACCAGUGGCGAAGGCGGCUUACUGGACUGUAACUGACGUUGAGGCUCGAAAGCGUGGGGAGCAAACAGGAUUAGAUACCCGAGUAGUC
rnacentral:rRNA from 1 species